rnacentral:rRNA from 1 species
AUUGAACGCUGGCGGCAGGCCUAACACAUGCAAGUCGAACGAGUGGCGGACGUGUGAGUAAUGUCUGGGACUCUGCCUUAUGGUGGGGUAUAACUACUGGAAACGGUAUCUAAUACCGCAUACCAUCAGAUGUGCCCAUAUGGGAUUAGCUUGUUGGUGGGGUAACGGCUCACCAAGGCGACGACCCCUAGCUGGUCUGAGAGGAUGACCAGCCACACUGGAACUGAGACACGGUCCAGACUCCUACGGGAGGCAGCAGUGGGGAAUAUUGCACAAUGGGCGCAAGCCUGAUGCAGCCAUGCCGCGUGUAUGAAGAAGGCCUUAGGGUUGUAAAGUACUUGCAGCGGGGAGGCGUUACCCACAGAAGAAGCACCGGCUAACUCCGUGCCAGCAGCCGCGGUAAUAC